AAUCAAAUUGUGCUCCCAUUUUGAAACGACGUAGAGGAUCGGGAUAAAAAAAAUAGUUUUUUAGUUUGUACGAGAGGAGACCUCCCCCAAAAUUUCAGCCCGAUCGGCCGAAAAUUGCGUGAGAUAUCGCAUCUCACACAUUUUUCGCGAUAGAAACUAUAAGGCACUUGCGUAUCGCGGUCGUGCCUAAAAAGGAGGUCCCUGUAAGUGUUAGACGAAACGGUGGAAAGAAAUAUGAGGAAAUUGAAUGUGUAGGAGAUUAGGAAGAAUAUAUACAGAAUUUAUGAGGGGGAACUGAAAAACUGGGAACAAAAGAGAUGUGAUAAGAAGUUAAAAGAAAAAAAAAAGUAAAUAAGGUCUACGUAGACAAUGAUUUAACAAAGAAGGAAAAAGAAGUACAGAAAGGGCAAAUAGGGGCUAGUACGCAGCGAGAAGGGCAAAAAUAGGAUUUAUGGAAAUAUGGGGAAAUGGAUGAGAAUUCAGAUGAAACGAGGGGAAAGAAGAGUUAAAGAAAGGCGAGGAUUAACAUACACAGAUUGAUAGGAUAAAGAAAAAGGAUAGAUAUAAGAGAAAAAAGAAUAGGAAGGGGAGAAAAAGAAGAGGGGUAAUGGUAGAGGAGGGAGAAAGAUGAGGAUUGAAAAUGUCAUUUUGGGAGGUAAGAGAGAAAUAAAGAAAUAAAGGGUGAAAUAAGGAUGAAGAAUAUUGAAAAAAUAGUAAAAAAAUAGUAAAAAUAGUAAAAAAUAGUUUUGUUGAAGACAUGAUUGGAGGAAAAUGUGUGAGAAAUUAGGAAGUGAAAUACUGGAAAAGUAUACAUGGAUCGUUCAAGGAAUGGGGAGAGCAAAGAAGAGGCGAAAACAAGAGAAGAAUGGUAAUGCUAAUAAAGACGCAAAUAAAGGAAAUAAGGGAGAUCUGGCAAGAGGAAUACAAGCAAAAGUGAAGGAGGGGAAAUGUGAUGUAUAAUCGAAUGUAUUGUAGAAAAAGAAAAAAGAAACUGUUAGGAAAAGUGGACGAAGAGUUUGAAAAAUGGAGAUAAAAUAGAAAGAGGGUGAUAAUCGUAAUGCAAGAAUAGUCAAUAGAGGGUGAUAUGGAGUUGAAGGAAAGAAAAAACGGCAAAAAACACCAAGAAUAAGAAAAGGAACUGAGAGGAAGAGGGCUAAUGUUCAAGAAAACGUAGAGGAGAAUUAAUGUUCGCCGGGAAAUAGAGAAUGGGAAGAUGAAAUACAAAAGAGAGGAGUGGAGAAGGAACUGAUGAAAUUAAUAAGUAAAGAAAAGAGAGUGCGGGCGAGCAAGGAAACGAGAUGGAAAAGGAGAGUGGAAGAGUUAACAUAGUAUGAUAAGAGAGCGAAAGUGAGUGGUAGGAAAUAAACUGAGAAAAUAUAGGAAAUGGGGAAACAAGGACGUAUGCGUAUUGGAGAAGCGGAGGAGAUGUGCAAGAAGAAGAGGACGGGAUAUAGAAGGAUUUUUUUAAGUACAUAAAAAGAAAAAACCAAACAAAGAAGUGGUAAGUGCAACAAUAAAGGUAGUGAAUUGGUACAAAAAAAAUACUAAGGAGAGCUGCUACCACGGGUUUUCAACUGCUUGAAUAAAACAUACUAGUUUUAAUGAAUGUGAGCAGAUUGGACGUCUCUUUGCUCCUGGAAUUUUCUGCGGAAAUGUAAGAAAAGAGGAAAACAAGGAGGAGGAAGAGAGAAGAAAGAGAGAAGAAAGUAAGCGAAGUGACCGUUAGCAAUAAGGCAGGAUCAAGAGAAGGAAUCGGUUGGCGGAGAGGCAGUCAGUGUAGCAUUAAUAGAGUAUACGGUAGAAAGUAUUUGGAGGGAACUCAAAAACCAGAAAGGGAGAUGCAUAGCAAAGGUAAAGGGAAAAUUGGUGGAAACGUUUUAUCUGCAGAGACAACUUAUUGUAAUCUCAAAAUAUAUAAAAAUAUUCGCACAACAAUAAAUGAUUUAAUACUAUGUAUUAAACAAGAAACGAAGAUAACAAGUCAUAAGGAAGUUGCAAGAGAAAACACGAAGGAGCAAAAUAAGCACAGGAUUGAAUAAUAUAUAUUCCAUAUCAUUGUAUCUUCUAUCAACGUUUUUCUGUUUUCGAGUACUGGUUCGUGAUGUGUAAUUUAUACUAUACUAUUACUUCAAGCGUAUGAAGCAAGGGAAAAUUAAAAGUCAAGUUUAUUAUAUCUAAUAAGAUCUGAAACUAUGAAUAAUAAAUUAUUGAUAACCAUAGUUCGAAAAAUGUGAAUAUCCUAAUGUACUAGUGGAAAAUUGAAGAUGUAAUACUUGGAAAAAUUAGAAAGAAGUUAGAAUUUACAUGCAAUAUGUUGAAUUACACGGAAAAGUUAGUAAAUAUUCUGUUUUUUUUUUUUUUAGAUAAUGAAGUACUUUAUAUAAAUAAAAAUAUUUCAGUACAUAAAACAAUUGAUAAAAAUUACUGUGGUAAAAGCUAUACCACAUCUUGUAUUACAGAAAUAGUAUACUAAUUAUUUUUAGAAUAAGUGCGACAGUUAACAACAUAUAAACUUAUUUUGAAUUAAAUAACCAUUUAUAACCUACCAAUUAUCUUUCCUAAUUUUUUUUAGUGAACUGCAAAGAAUGUCUACUGAUUUUAUACAUUAGAAAUACAGUACUUAAACAAGAAUUUUUUUUUUAAUACAGCACAAUCUUUAUCUGUCCAUAGGUCACAUGAGAAGUAUUGUACUCAGGAGUCAUCAUGACAAUUUUGCGAGUAGAGUGCACUACAGUAAAUUCAUUUCGCACCAGAUAAGAGUAUUAUUUCCGAAGCGCCGGAUUUUAGUGGUGAAUUUUAAGCCCUUUGCUGCAUACAUUUUUUCUUACAAGCGAUUUAUUAAAAAUUGGGUACUCGGCGGUUUUUGGGGUCGCUGAUCACGAAUCUGGGGUCAAAUUCCAGAUAUUUAAAAUAGCGGAUCUAAUAUAGCUGAUCGAAACGCAAAAAAUAACUUGUUUUGAAUUAAAUUCUGUAGUGUAUGUAUUGCAACGCUAUUUUCUUUUCUAUCCAUAAAUAAUUUUCCCGAGAUAUCGCAAAAGUAAGUCAACCCCGUGAAUUCUCCAAAAUCGAAAACGCGGCAAAAACUGAUUUGGAGGUCAGGUAUACCGCAAACGGGAAGGCUCGCUUAUAAAUCUGGAAAGGGAUCUCGGAUCCCUGUAGCUACAACUAAUCCUAAAACUAACCUAAAUCGAUACAUCUGAAAAAUCUUAGAUCUAAACUUAAGGACCCUAAAUGAUAAUCUUAAAACUACUAUCUCCGAGGGAGACACCACCAGACAAGAAUCCUCGACGUAGUUGACCUUACUAGUCUGAAAAUCUAAGUACUAAAGUGAUAAUCUUACACCUAAAGGCUAGCGGGAGUCCGAAUCUCAAAAUGUGUUGUUAAAUGGGAUGACUCAAGACUACAGAACUAAACAGUAUGCCCAGUUCUACAGCCAGCUCGGCUGGGGGAGCGUCGUGGCGUUCCGAAGCAAGAUAGGAAGGUUAAAAACUCAAGUUCGAAUGAAGGAAACAGAAAAGAUUCCAAUUAGUUAAUGCACCAGAGCUGUAUUGAAUCACAAAUUCAUGCGAAGCAUAGAGUAGAAAAGUAGUUAAGUAACCAAAGAAGGUACUUGGCGAAGGCGUGUGGCAAUGCUUAGGUGCGACAAUCAGAAGUCAAAAUAUUUAACAAAAAUCCUUAAAAGUAGGUUUACAAAGCAGGAAGAAUUUUAAAAAGAUAAGAGAAUAUAAACUAAAAAUCGUAUACUAACAAGAAAGGUAAGUAGUUAUAUACCACUUCUGGCCGUCACAACAAACCCCCACCACUGUCCCCUGUGAGUCAUGGAGCGCGCAGCGCUCUGACCCCCUGCGCUGCACUAUGGCGCCACCCUCUCGCCUACGUUACCAGCUCUCCCCUCCCCCGCGACACUGUGGUGGAUCCCCCACCACGCGGCCCUGGUCAUGAGGCCCGAAACCACCCAGUAGCAGCGUUGCAUCUCCCCCAGGGGCCGUAUCACGGUCGGUAAUUAUGCAUUGACCGCCGGUCGGUAACUUUUUAAUUACCCUACGGAGGUAACGUAGUAAAGUAGAAUACGGCUCUUUUUUGUAAGAAAUACCUUAUAUUAUACAAGCAUUGUACGCAUUGGCGAUACUUUUUCGAUACCUUUAGCUAUCGAUGGGUGGUCAUCCAACCCCCUAAUAUUUUACUCGGGAUGAACCCUCCACAUAUAAAGUAAUUGCUUCUGGAAUGCUGGUGCCCCUCUUUUGCUUAAUCUAGCGAACGAUGCGCAAAUACGGUUGGCGUGGGGGGUACCACUGUCUUGACCAACCCUAUGUAUUCCAGGCCCUCGUAACCCCCUACUACAUGUGUCUCUUAUUUGCAACUAUGCAAAAAAUCAGGGCUAUGGUGGGGAAAAAGGUUACCUGUGAGAAGUCUUCGCAGCAUCUCGUGAGUACAUUGGUGAUAGUUCAGAUGGUACGAAUAUUAUAUAAAAUUGAAGAGAUUGGUGAUAGGAGAAACAACGGUAAGUGUAAAAAAAAGUUCUUGUUCCUGCUUUCAACCAUCUUUAUUUUAUCUAACGUUUACCCUGUUUUCUAGGCUAAUUCGGGAAAAGAAAAAGAGAGUGCGGAAAAAAAAAGGAAAUAUUAAUAAAGUGGUAUGCAUAUCGGUGUUGAACUUGUAUACAUUUAAAAAAAAAGUUAUUUUGUAUCUGACAUCUUUGACAUUUAUUUCUAGAUAUUACAAAAAAAGGACGAAGCGCACCAGGCCCCUUCAGGCUACAGCCGAGUGUCACCGGAGCUACGCAGCAAGGACGCACAGCGUUAUCCAGCGUGAUUGUUAACCAUAUAUAUAUAUAUUACAGGACCGAUCAUGGCGCCAAGACGGCCGGAUACACCACCCUAGGGGGCAGAAGGACCAUUCGAGGGGCCACUGCUGGACGGGAUACCGCCGCCCCUCAAUGCGUUCUUCGCCCGCUUUCACGAGGGCCAGUGCAUAUUCGGCUGUUUAUACGUGCGGGGCGGGGAGGAGGCGGGGCUAUACUACGGGUGCAUGCGAGCGCAGACGCCCGAGCACAGGGUUCAGUACACGGCGCGUGUGAAGCACUAUUUAAAGAUCGACCCCGCGAUAGAUCUGCGCGUGGGCGUCUAUGUACGCUGUGCUCGGUGUGUGAUGCACGCGUAUGCACCUGGUGAUUGCAUAACCUGCAUAGGGUACUUCUGCGACAAUAGGGAGCUGCUAUUAAGGCAGGGGGUUGCAGAAGACCCUCCCCCGCCCCAGGUGUAAAAUGUAAUAUGUAAAUAUGUAAAUAUGUAAAUUUUUAUUAUAUAGUGUAUAUAUUGUGACGUUAGACACAAAUGAAAACCG